rnacentral:lncRNA from 1 species
AGAACCAAGUUAUUGCAGCCCCUUGUUCCCUUUCCAGCCUGGGCUGGUUUGUUCCACAAUGGCUCAAACCAAAUAAGAAACACGCGUGUCUCGAAGAACAGCCUUUCCCAUGGUCAAGCUCAGCGUGCCUUCUGCCAGGCAUGUCCUCUUACCACCAUCUCCAUGGGAUCCAUCUGCACAAAAGCACACUUGCCACUAGUCUGUGGAAUUAAACCUUCGCGUCCUG